GACGGAGGGGCAAGCGUUGUCCGGACUCACUGGGCGUAAAGGGUGCGCAGGCGGUCCUGUGCGUCGGCGCUGAAAGCGCCCGGCUUAACCGGCGAGGCGCGGCGAUACGACAGGACUGGAGGCUCGGAGAGGGUGGUGGAACUCCUGGUGUAGUGGUGAAAUGCGUAGAGAUCAGGAAGAACACCCGUGGCGCAAGCGACCACCUGGCCGAGACCUGACGCUGAGGCA
rnacentral:rRNA from 1 species